rnacentral:rRNA from 1 species
AGUGAACGCUGGCGGUAGGCCUAACACAUGCAAGUCGAACGGCAGCACAGUAAGAGCUUGCUCUUACGGGUGGCGAGUGGCGGACGGGUGAGGAAUACAUCGGAAUCUACUUUUUCGUGGGGGAUAACGUAGGGAAACUUACGCUAAUACCGCAUAAGACCUACGGGUGAAAGCAGGGGAUCUUCGGACCUUGCGCGAUUGAAUGAGCCGAUGUCGGAUUAGCUAGUUGGCGGGGUAAAGGCCCACCAAGGCGACGAUCCGUAGCUGGUCUGAGAGGAUGAUCAGCCACACUGGAACUGAGACACGGUCCAGACUCCUACGGUGGGCAGCAGUGGGGAAUAUUGGACAAUGGGCGCAAGCCUGAUCCAGCCAUACCGCGUGGGUGAAGAAGGCCUUCGGGUUGUAAAGCCCUUUUGUUGGGAAAGAAAAGCAGCAGGUUAAUACCCCGCUGUUCUGACGGUACCCAAAGAAUAAGCACCGGCUAACUUCGUG